AGAAUCAACGCUGGCGGCGUGCCUCAGACAUGCAAGUCGAACGCGAAAGUCCCCUUCGGGGGACAAGUAGAGUGGCGCACGGGUGAGUAACACGUAGGUAAUCUACCUUUGGAUGGGGAAUAACAACCGGAAACGGUUGCUAAUACCGCAUGAUGCAGCGGCACCUAAUGGUGACAGUUGUUAAAGCGGGGGAUCGAAAGACCUCGCGUCUGAAGAGGAGCCUGCGGCGGAUUAGCUAGUUGGUAAGGUAAUGGCUUACCAAGGCUACGAUCCGUAACCGGCCCGAGAGGGCGGUCGGUCACACUGACACUGACAUACGGGUCAGACUCCGUACGGGAGGCAGCAGUCGGGAAUUUUGGGCAAGUGGGACGAAAGCCUGACCCAGCCAACGCCGCGUGAAGGAUAGAAA
rnacentral:rRNA from 1 species